rnacentral:rRNA from 1 species
GAGUUUGAUCCUGGCUCAGGAUGAACGCUAGCGGCAGGCUUAAUACAUGCAAGUCGUGGGGCAGCAUGUCCCGUAGCAAUACGGGAUGAUGGCGACCGGCAAACGGGUGCGGAACACGUACACAACCUUCCUUUAAGUGGGGAAUAGCCCGGGGAAACCCGGAUUAAUACCCCGUAACAUAGUGAAGUGGCAUCACUUUAUUAUUAUAGCAGCAAUGCGCUUAUAGAUGGGUGUGCGACUGAUUAGGCAGUUGGCGGGGUAACGGCCCACCAAACCUACGAUCAGUAACUGGUGUGAGAGCACGACCAGUCACACGGGCACUGAGACACGGGCCCGACUCCUACGGGAGGCAGCAGUAAGGAAUAUUGGUCAAUGGACGCAAGUCUGAACCAGCCAUGCCGCGUGGAGGAUGAAGGCCUUCGGUU